CCUAAAAAAAUAUUGUUUCCUUUUGCUAUAUGACCAGAAGUGGAGUUGCUGGAUCACAUGCAGCAAGAGGAAAAUCAUGCACUACCUCCUUAGAUUCUUAUCACCGGGGUGUGUUUAACAAGCAGAGCUAAGCUGAGGCAGGGAAAGGCCCUUGGAGGAACCAUCACUGCUUCCCUCGUGAUGAGAAGACCUGGCAAAAUUAUGAACCUCAGGUAUGGUUUGAGUGGCACCGACCCUGGGCUGCUGGGAGCCUAGACACUGUCCACAACAUCACGGGCAAUGACCUGUGAGCUAGGAGUACCACCUGGAUUAGCGAGACUCUAGGGCAAAACAAAUGCUUUCAGGGACACUCCAGUGACUCACAGGCUGAGAAUAGAGACGAUCUUCAUUGUAACCAUCUGCAAAAGCUUCUUAUGAAUGUAUUUAUUAGAGGAGGGAACCGACAAACUACUCCAGGAAAGUUACAUUUUAGAAAUUCAUUUCUAAUUUCAUGCAUAGAACUUUUAAAGAAGUAAGAGUAUUUUCCACUUCUACUCAUGCCAAGAGAACAUUAAAUUGGAUGCACUACUUGGGGAAAAUCACAGCUGUUCC